rnacentral:rRNA from 1 species
GACGAACGCUGGCGGCGUGCUUAACACAUGCAAGUCGAACGGUAAGGCCCUUCGGGGUACACGAGUGGCGAACGGGUGAGUAACACGUGGGUGAUCUGCCCUGCACUUCGGGAUAAGCCUGGGAAACUGGGUCUAAUACCGGAUAGGACCCUGGGAUGCAUGUCCUGGGGUGGAAAGCUUUUGCGGUGUGGGAUGGGCCCGCGGCCUAUCAGCUUGUUGGUGGGGUGAUGGCCUACCAAGGCGACGACAGGUAGCCGGCCUGAGAGGGUGACCGGGCAGACUGGGACUGAGAUACGGCCCAGGCUCCUACGGGAGGCAGCAGUGGGGAAUAUUGCCCAAUGGGCGCAAGCCUGAUGCAGCGACGCCGCGUGAGGGAUGGCGGCCUUCGGGUUGUAAACCUCUUUCAGCACCGACGAAGCGCAAGUGACGGUAGGUGCAGAAGAAGGACCGGCCAACUACGUGCCAGCAGCCGCCGUAA